rnacentral:rRNA from 1 species
UGUAGUCAUAUGCUUGUCUCAAAGAUUAAGCCAUGCAUGUUUAAGUACUUGCCGAAAUAAGGUGAAACCGGGAAUGGCUCAUUAAAUCAGUUACGGUUCUAUAGAUAUUGACUAUCUACAUGGAUAACUGUGGUAAUUCUAGAGCUAAUACAUGCACAAAAGCCCUAACCUUGCGGAAGGGGCGCAUUUAUUAGAACAAGACCAAUGGGGCUCCUCGUGGGUCCUUACGUUGGUGACUCUGGAUAACUUCAGCUGACCGCACGGCCUCCGAGCCGGCGACGAAUCUUUCAAGUGUCUGCCUUAUCAACUGUCGAUGGUAGGUUAUGCGCCUACCAUGGUUGCAACGGGUAACGGGGAAUCAGGGUUCGAUUCCGGAGAGGGAGCCUGAGAAACGGCUACCACAUCCAAGGAAGGCAGCAGGCACGCAAAUUACCCAAUCCUGACACAGGGAGGUAGUGACAAUAAAUAACAAUACAGGGCUCUUUGAGUCUUGUAAUUGGAAUGAGUACAAUUUAAAUCCCUUAACGAGGAACAAUUGGAGGGCAAGUCUGGUGCCAGCAGCCGCGGUAAUUCCAGCUCCAAUAGCGUAUAUUAAAGUUGUUGCAGUUAAAAAGCUCGUAGUUGAAUUUUGGGCCUGGCUGGGUGGUCUUGCCGCAAGGUAAGCACUGCUCUGGUUGGGUCUUUCUUUCUGGGGAACCGAUGUGCUCUUAAUUGAGUGCGUCGGGGAUCCAGGACUUUUACUUUGAAAAAAUUAGAGUGUUUAAAGCAGGCCUACGCUUGAAUACAUUAGCAUGGAAUAAUAGAAUAGGACUUUGGUUCUAUUUUGUUGGUUUCUAGGACCGAAGUAAUGAUUAAUAGGGAUAGUUGGGGGCAUUAGUAUUUAAUUGUCAGAGGUGAAAUUCUUGGAUUUAUGAAAGACUAACUUCUGCGAAAGCAUUUGCCAAGGAUGUUUUCAUUAAUCAAGAACGAAAGUUAGGGGAUCGAAGACGAUCAGAUACCGUCGUAGUCUUAACCAUAAACUAUGCCGACUAGGGAUCGGACGAUGUUAUUUUAUUGACUCGUUCGGCACCUUAUGAGAAAUCAAAGUUUUUGGGUUCCGGGGGGAGUAUGGUCGUCGCAAGGCUGA